UACGUAGGAUCCGAGCGUUGUCCGGAUUUACUGGGUGUAAAGGGUGCGUAGGCGGCCAACUAAGUCAGACGUGAAAUCCCUCGGCUUAACCGGGGAACUGCGUCUGAUACUGGAUGGCUUGAAUCCGGGAGAGGGAUGCGGAAUUCCAGGUGUAGCGGUGAAAUGCGUAGAUAUCUGGAGGAACACCGGUGGCGAAGGCGGCAUCCUGGACCGGCAUUGACGCUGAGGAGCGAAAGCCAGGGGAGCAAACGGG
rnacentral:rRNA from 1 species